CAGCAGCCACGGUAAUACAGAGGGUGCGAGCGUUAAUCGGAUUUACUGGGCGUAAAGCGUGCGUAGGCGGCUUCUUAAGUCGGAUGUGAAAUCCCUGAGCUUAACUUAGGAAUUGCAUUCGAUACUGGGAAGCUAGAGUAUGGGAGAGGAUGGUAGAAUUCCAGGUGUAGCGGUGAAAUGCAUAGAGAUCUGGAGGAAUACCGAUGGCGAAGGCAGCCAUCUGGCCUAAUACUGACGCUGAGGUACGAAAGCAUGGGGAGCAAACAGGAUUAGAUACCCCAGUAGUCCCUGUCUCUUAUAC
rnacentral:rRNA from 1 species